AUAUAUAUAUAUAUGUGUAUACCACUGCUUUCGAGGAACGCGUGAUUUUUAUUAGAAACUGCGACGCCUAGCGGCAGACAGGACGAAGCCCGUACAUUCACGACAAGGGUGUUCAUGGUUACCGUUAACGGUUUCCAACGGUUAUGGCGCGAGAUUCGUCGAUACACAUGGAUACGAAUAGACGUACAUAGGUGCAUACAUGAUCAUUGAUGCGUGAAGGCUCUUUGAAUGAGCAUUGGAAACGAAUGCGGCGCCAUUUGCUCGAUAACCAUUCACAGACGCUGUACCAUUGAUUGAUAGUUCAGCAAACAUUAUCUUUAGAUAUUUUUAUAAAGAUAUAAAUAUUAGUUUAAAAAUCCUAUGGUUUCAUGCUUCCUUCCGCGAAGAAAAUCCAUGUCGUUUAAAAGAGUUGUGCCAAAGACAAAAAAAAAAGACAAAAAAUAGGCGGUAGACAUUGGAAGGAUGAAAUCUCCCGAGUCAAAGCUCUCUUUCGUAUCGUAGUUUGGACUGUAGUUAUUACCAAGAGCAAGAGGUUGAUCGAUAACCUAUUUCUCGGUGGUUGGCACAGCGCCAGAAUUUCUACUGAGUGCUGCUGACUCUUUGACAUCACGACAAAAUAACCUCGUCCUCGAGCUAGGUCAUGAAUGUUUUCAAAAUUCGAUGGAAAGUAUGAGAGAGAGAGAGAGAGAGAGAGAGAGAGAGAGAGAGAGAGAGGAAGAGAGAGAAAGAGGGUGCAACCAUUCGUAAGGAUCCUUCUGGAGUUAUCAUUACUGGACCAAAACGUUUUAUUUUUUGCUUCAAACUUACGAAAAUAUAUAAGAGAAAAAUAUUAUUUUAUAAAUCCUCUUCAUAUAUAUAUUCUCUUACUAAUCUUAGUUCUUAAAUAUCUUACUAGGGAUUUUUCCUUUUAUUUCUUAUUCUUUUUCUUCCAAAUACGUAUCAUCCAUCUUCCUUUGGAACGAACGAACAGAUCUUCUAGAGCUUUUGUACAAAGCACACACAACAAGUUUUCUAUAAUUUCAACGAAUAAUGGGCCCAGGAGCUUUCCAAUUUCAACGAUUCGAAGUAAAUGCUUGACCUUGCUGAAAACGGAAUAAAAUUUAUAGAAGCUUUAUUGUCAAGCAAGCUACUGGCCUUCGUGGAUGUUCGUGAAAACUACGAUGGUACUGCUGUUAAUGGUACUGCAGUACCACCUAUUUCGAGUGAUAUCAUUUUCUAUGUUAAAAUAAGCGCUCGCGUGAGAGAGAAAGAAAAAGAAAUAAAGAAAGAAAGAAAGAAGGAAGGAAGGAAGGAAGGAAGGAACGAGAGAGGGAACAUUGCAUUGUGCACAAAUAGGUGGUUUCGAUCGAUUCUUCCCUUUUUAUUAUUCCCUUUUAUUUCUUUAUAUUUCUCUCUUUCUUUUGCGCGCGUUCGCUUGCUCGCGUUAUGAUGAUAGAAGAAUGCAGAAACGAUUAAUAACGAGAUAAAGUCGUUAGCUUCAGUGCCACGUUACGAGCCAUUAUUUCUAACGGAUUGGCAGGCAGAUCGGUCUUCUAAUGUCUUUUCUAAAGGUUCUCAUUCAAUAGCUCGGUCACCAUGACCACCAUGAGAGAUAAAGAGAGAUAGAUAGAAGGACUCUUAACGUCGCUACGCGUUUAACACGAAUUCUAUAAUCACAAGUACCAAUAUGUAUGACCAUUGACAAGUUUGAUGAAUCAUGACGAUUUCUCUCUGUUAUUUAUUUUAAUUGAUUAUGUCAAAUAGAGAAAAAUUUUGUAAGAACGAUUGGUUUUUCUAUAAGCAUUGAUGAUUCAUCGACGGUCGUUGUCGUUCGAUUGUCUAUGCUUACGUCAUUCGGUAAAAAAUCGCUUACGUUGCACUCUCACCGGGCAUAGUUCUUCACAUUCUUUCGUUUGAACCUUUGAAAAUCUAGCCAGCCAUACUCUGGACUGUAGUAUGCUCGACACCAAGUGCAGAAUACUUACCGUUGAACUUGAUCGCUUGUUAGGAUCAAUGCCAACGAUAUAGUAAGUUUAUCGCUUUUAGGAUCG
rnacentral:lncRNA from 1 species